AGGUCGCAAGCGGCCAUGCCGAAGACAGCAGGUACCGGUAUUCCGGUAUAAGAAAACAGCGCCUGCCGAGGAAAAGAGUUGACGAUUGUAACGGUUUAUCCGUAACUUAUCCUCUCUGUGUCUUCGCAGAGAGGUUUUUUUAUAUCCGG
rfam:Clostridium sp. KLE 1755 genomic scaffold Scaffold47, whole genome shotgun sequence.